GAACAAGAAGAAAGUGAUAAUGAUGGUUAGUAAGUGUGGAAGACAGGCUGAGGAUUGAAGGAUUAAACGACACCUCCUCUCCAUCUGGAACAACGGAUGAGCGCAGACUUUCCUGACCAGAACUAAAGAUGAGCUCCUCAUCCUCUUGUUACCAGUGUACUCUUCAUGUCUUUGUUUAAUGCAGAGACUAAAGCCCCAUUUGGACGGGAUUAACUGUACGGGAGGAGGUGGAGAAUUAAAUCUUCACUGUGGUCUUCUGUAAUGUAACCUCCAUAACUCUGCUAAGAAGUCAGAAAAAAGACACUUGUGUUUGUGCAGAACUUGCUUUUGGAACUUGUUUUUAACUUUUCUUCAGUAUCACAGUGAUCCAGUGACAGCUGUCUGUACGCCCAUGGGUUCACUGCAGACAGGAGAUGAUCGCAGCUAAUUCUGCAUACUUAGAAUAAAAAUAUGUGAAUAAAUGUAUAUGCUGUGAUUACUGCAGGUAUGGGUGGGUGGGCCAGGUAUUGUUAAACUAGCCCACCUCCUCUAAAAAAGAUCCAGUCCAAAUGGAGCUGAAGUCGGGUUUAGACGGGAUCUGUCACUUUAUUUUUGUACAUACAUCUGUUUUUAUUAAGUCCAUAAUACUCCCUGCUGUAAAACAGUGAAAAUAAAGAAUAUGAUUCUGCGUGCCUCCUUAAA